UACGUAGGGUGCAAGCGUUGUCCGGAAUUAUUGGGCGUAAAGAGCUCGUAGGCGGUUUGUCGCGUCGAAUGUGAAAACCCGGGGCUCAACUCCGGGCCUGCAUUCGAUACGGGCAGACUAGAGUUCGGUAGGGGAGACUGGAAUUCCUGGUGUAGCGGUGAAAUGCGCAGAUAUCAGGAGGAACACCGGUGGCGAAGGCGGGUCGCUGGGCCAUUCCUGACGCUGAGACGCGAAAGCUAGGGGAGCGAACAGG
rnacentral:rRNA from 1 species